GGAGUCGGGUCGCCGCAGCCGCUGGAGGUGACUGUUGGGGCUACCGCCGAACCGGUUCAGAGGCUGUUGCUGUUCAGUUCAGCCGUUCUUUCUUAGUUUCAGAGUUAGAAUCCGAGUUUACUAGUGGCGUUGAGGUUGUUUCUACUAUUGAGAAAGACACACGGAACCGGGAUUUUGAUUGUCGAUUUCGGGUUGAGGCAGAAAGGACUCUGUGAGACGUUUGGGUUAUAGAAUUGCAUUUUGAGGUAGGCGCUCUUUCCAAAAACUAUGUUUUAUGUAUUGGAAUUAUUACAUAUGGAUAAUAAUGUGAGAUAUUGUGCAUUUGGUGAUUGUAAUUGCCUUAUGUAUUAUUUGAUUGACUCGAAUGAUUAUGGAUGUUGGUUUGGCUGAAUUGUUGUGCGGCUUUGUGAAAUGUAAUGUUAUGAAGUUGAUUCUUUAAAGAUUUGAAAUCUGAGUUUAAUCCGUUGAGGAUUGAUUUGAAUUGAGUUAAUUAUUUUGAUGAUGUGAAAAGUUGAAUGCACUUUUGAAUUUAGCCUGGUUUACUUAAAUUGACUUGGUUUUGGACAAACGAUUUGUUACUGAGCCGUUUCUUUAAA